rnacentral:rRNA from 1 species
UACGUAGGGGGCUAGCGUUGUCCGGAUUUAUUGGGCGUAAAGAGCGUGUAGGCGGCCAGGUAGGUCUGCUGUGAAAACUCGAGGCUCAACCUCGAGACGUCGGCGGAAACCAUCUGGCUAGAGUCCGGAAGAGGAGAAUGGAAUUCCCGGUGUAGCGGUGAAAUGCGCAGAUAUCGGGAAGAACACCCGUGGCGAAGGCGGUUCUCUGGGACGGUACUGACGCUGAGACGCGAAAGCGUGGGGAGCGAGCAGG